rnacentral:rRNA from 1 species
CACGUAGGGUGCGAGCGUUGUCCGGAAUUAUUGGGCGUAAAGGGCUCGUAGGCGGUUUGUCGCGUCGGGAGUGAAAUCAUCUGGCUUAACUGGGUGCUUGCUUUCGAUACGGGCAGACUAGAGGUAUGCAGGGGAGAACGGAAUUCCUGGUGUAGCGGUGAAAUGCGCAGAUAUCAGGAGGAACACCGGUGGCGAAGGCGGUUCUCUGGGCAUGAUCUGACGCUGAGGAGCGAAAGUGUGGGGGAGCGAACAGG